AGCAUGGUGGUGCAGUGGAUAGCGCUGUGGCCUUACAGCUCCAGGGUCCUCUGUUCAAUCCUGAGCUCAGGUUA